GUGCCAAUAGCUCAGCUGGUAGAGCACCUGACUUUUAAUCAGGGGGUCGGAGGUUCAACUCCUCUUUGGCACA
rnacentral:tRNA from 1 species